AACGAACGCUGGCGGCGUGCCUAAUACAUGCAAGUUGAGCGCUGAAGGUUGGUACUUGUACCGACUGGAUGAGCAGCGAACGGGUGAGUAACGCGUGGGGAAUCUGCCUUUGAGCGGGGGACAACAUUUGGAAACGAAUGCUAAUACCGCAUAAAAACUUUAAACACAAGUUUUAAGUUUGAAAGAUGCAAUUGCAUCACUCAAAGAUGAUCCCGCGUUGUAUUAGCUAGUUGGUGAGGUAAAGGCUCACCAAGGCGAUGAUACAUAGCCGACCUGAGAGGGUGAUCGGCCACAUUGGGACUGAGACACGGCCCAAACUCCUACGGGAGGCAGCAGUAGGGAAUCUUCGGCAAUGGACGAAAGUCUGACCGAGCAACGCCGCGUGAGUGAAGAAGGUUUUCGGAUCGUAAAACUCUGUUGGUAGAGAAGAACGUUGGUGAGAGUGGAAAGCUCAUCAAGUGACGGUAACUACCCAGAAAGGGACGGCUAACUACGUG
rnacentral:rRNA from 1 species